ACCAGGUCUAAUUUUUGCUGAAGCAUUGCAGAAAUCCUCUGCAGCAGAGUAGUGAUUUAAAGUCACAACUAUGCAGGUGAUUGAGGUGGGGAGGCUUUCUCACAAAAGGAGGAGAAAGAUUUGCUGAAUCAUAGAGACCAAGAAGGUGUGGGUUGCUGAGACCUUGAAGACAGGAGGAUGCAGUGCUAUCAGGAAAUGUUGGAUCAUUUAGGAGGUGCUACCUUGGAGAAAGUUCUGAGGUCACUGGUAGUGUAUGUAUGAAGGAGAUUGUGUGACUCUGAUCGUCUCUGUUUCCCGUAUCAAGAGAUAAAACCUUGCAAUGUUGGAGGGAAGACGCUUGAGAGCAGGAUGUUCUAAGGGGAGAAUAAACGAUCUAUUCUGCAGGGAAGCUUGUUUAAGCUCAGGAAGUAAAGAACUCCAAAGCUUCGAAGUCCCUGAAACGGAUGCGAUUUCCUAGGCCCUUCCUCCCUACCAUAUAAGGACUACUGAGAGAGACUAAAGAGCCAACUGUCAAAGAGGCUCAAACCAGCCAAGCUUCCUGGAAAACACAUUCUCCAACAUGCUGAACUGCCUGAAAAUUGUGCCGUUAGUGUGCUCCAGGUUUCCAACUUUAACGAGGUAUCACCCAUGCUGGGGUGGGCUUUGAGUCGUUUCUGGUCCUGUAAGGAACACUUCACCUAUGCACCUAUAAGUAACUCAAAAUAAAUAAAUAAAUAAAUAAAAAGCCUAACUGAUAGAUCAAGUUGGACUUUGGUGCAGUGGUUGCUUUGGCUCGUUGGAGGUUCCCUAUCUGGGGUGAGUAGAUGUUUGUUCACGUCUCUCCAGGAAUAGUGUCAUACAAUAACGCUCAAGAGCCUCUGGGAAUAAGACUCCCAUGCAUUGUGCUUUAUUAACUGACCACAUCAAAGUUAAAUUAAAAAUUUUAGAUGUACAUUACAGUUGCAUGCUAUACCUUUAAGUUUAAAUUUUAAAAUUUAUAAGAUGGACAUAGAAUGAAUUGGUUAAGUAGACACCCAGCCAAAAGGAAAGUCUUCUUACAUUUCUAUCCUCAGAAGACACUGUGUUAACAUAAAGUGUUAACCUUCCCUAACCAUAAGAACGAUGAUUGCAAUAAGAAAAAGAUACAUAAUCCCAUCCUAGAUACUAUUUUGCAAUAAAAAUGGCUACUUUUAAAUAAUGCUAUCACCUCUUCGAAAGAUGCCUAUAUCUUUUCAAAAUGUAUGAUUGUUCAUUAUAAAACAAAAUUAUCUGUCUCAUACGUUAUUUGGAAUAAGACAAAGCAUUUCUAAUCCUCUGUUUCUUCACCUGCAAAAUAAUGGGAAUAAUACUAUUAAUUCCAUUGUGGGAUGUAAGUACCUUAGCAUAUUAUCUGGCAUACAGUAGGUGCAUAUUUCUGUAGAGCCUUCUUAGUAUCUGGGAAGC